rnacentral:lncRNA from 1 species
UCAUGAUUCGUGCAGCAAGAACAGCAUUACAAAUCUAGAAGAGCCAAAAUAGAAUAUAUUAGUUCUCCUUUUCUAUAAAAAAAGAAAUUUUUAAUUCAUACCAGAAAUAAAAGUAAAAUUCCCUUGUAAAUAACUCUGUCCAAAUGUAGAAAGUUUUUUUAAAACAGCAUACAGGGCUAAUUGACCAUUUCUAUCUAGGGACACAUGUUUGGUCAUGGGAAUGAUAAUAUGGCAUAUGCAGAUCUUUCAUUCGAUAUCUCUCUUGCUUUGUUAGUGAGUGUUAUAGGUUCCAUGUUCAUAUAUCAUUUCUAUAUUAUCCAGGUAAAGCCCAAACUAUAUCCUAUACUCUGAGAUCAAAGAGAGCUUUCCUAUUUUAGAGAAAGCCCACCAAUUUAGCCAUUUUCUUCUUGACAGACAAAAAACCGUUUUAUCUAAACAUAAUGCCAAUCAAAAAGGAGGCAGACCUGAAUUUCAAAAGAAGAAUACAAAAGGCACCAAAAGGUAAGAAACAGGAAAAGGAAACACACUAGCAUACCAAUUUAGUCAUUUUCUUCUUCACAGGCAAAACAACAUUUAAUUAAAAAAUCCCAAUCAAAAAGGAGGCAAACCUCAAUAACAAAAGAGGUAUACAAAAGGCACAAAAAGGCAAGAAUCAGGAAAGAAAACACACUAGUAUGAACCCAGUCUCUCCUAGUCCACAAGUUCUAACAUAGAUAGCCAAAAAGGAAACACCAAUUUAGACAGUCAUUUUCAGCAAGGUCCUAAUAACUUUAUGUCAAUGAGCAUGAUUACGAAAAACAGUUUUUCUAGUUACUUAACUAUCCCCAUUCUUAAUAUAUGGUAACUGCUAGUGCUAGCAGAUCCAGUAUUUGUUUUUAAAUAGCGUACCAAAGCAUGUAUACUUUGCACGCUUCCGGCAUUCUAAAGGAAAGAUCUUUCAUAUAUAGCUCCUCUUCCUUUACAAGAUUCCAAAAUACAUGAUUCAGUUUAGCUGCUUGUACAUUCACCCUGGAAGGGGGUGUAUAAAACAUAAAUCAUGCAAUGGUAAAAAUAACCAUCUUUGAAUAAGACAAAUGGUAUAGAUUUACCAUCAUGAAUCUGUCAAAAGGAUUAUGCAAGUAUACACAAGAACAUGAAAGGAUAGAUCAUUCAUCUAAUCCUUUGGAAUAAUCUUUUAUAAAGGUACUUUAAGUUGAACAACCACCUACUUUAAAGUUCAGGUAUGCAUCAUACCAAAAUGGAUACUAUUUAGAAAAUACAUAAAACACAAGCAAGGUAAUAGAAUGAUUGAGUGGUUGAAAACCACAUAUUCUCUAGACAAGUUCCUUUAAAAAUAAUUCUAAACACAAGGAAAACAAACAGCCAACAAAGCAAAUGCCAAGAUGGAACAUGGAUAAUCUAGACAAUGACAAAAACAAAACUCAAGUCAAUGCAAGACAUGAAUAUAAGAAAUUCAAGCACCACUUUUGAUAGGAUGACAAGGGGCUAAAGGCCUCUUAAGCACCAAAGGCAUUUAUUUUUCCUAUCUUUUUUGGUUUCAGUCUCCUUGUACACAUCCUAUCUCCCUGACUUAUGCCCCUUUCUUUAGGUGACAUGCAUGAUGCACCUAUCAAAAAAAAAAUUUACAACCAACAUCAGGCCUAUAUCCACCCCCAAAUCACAUUAACGAAUUCACUUAAAAAUAUUACACAACUAACACUUGGUUUCCACAACUCACAAAAAAUAAAAGCAACUAAUGAGCUUGUUACAAGUUCAAAUCAACGUCAAGAGCAUGAGUAACUUCAAACACCCUCAAAGGGACCACUUUAUUUAGAGUUCAAUCCAAAUUCCCCAACCCAAAUUUUAUGGACUACUAAAAGAUUGAAAAUUACUUUUUAAGGCAACAAAAAACAAUUAAAGCUUUUAAAUCAUCCUUUGGCUCUGUGAUUAAUUAAGAGCCCCUCUAGCUUCACUCUACUUUAACCUUUCAAGGAUAGCAAUCUUCCACACUCAAUUAAAGAAGUGAAUUCCUUACUCAAAAAUAUCCUAAAACAAUGCGUUUAAAUAGGGCUCCAAUGGCUAGUUGGCAUGCAUUAAAGAGCCAAGCUCAGUUGACUCAACUCCCAAUGGUCACUAAAACUUACAUCAACUUCCCAAAAAAGGGAAAUUAAGCUCGAUGGACCUAGUAAGAAUGGAAGAAAAAACUAGUUCACAAGCUCUACAAAGAAUCAAGUUUUUGUUGACCUAAGUAAGCUCAGUUUUACCCGAGUAUCAAAAGGCAGUCCUACCAAAAGGAAGUUACCCUAAAGCCUUAUAUACACCUCAAGUAAGCCAAACAGCAAAACUUGGAAUACAACAAACACUUCAAAAGCAUGAGAAAAUCACUUCAAACUUUUUAAAAAUCUUCUUUUUAUAGGAAGGAAGGCAUUAUAUUAAUAAAAAAAAACAAGUUCAAGGAAGGAUAAGGUAUUCUUAGAUCUAAACACAAGCAAAGGGAGGUUAAGACAACAAACUUGUAAAAGGGGCCAAAGCUCCAUCAAAACCUCAAAAAUCCAACAAUAUUCUUCAAGAUAGAACAAAAUGCUCAUGGGAUAUAAAUCCCCUAAUAAUAGGCUCCUUAUUUGACCAAAUUAUCUUUUAUUUGGUUUGCCAAUCAAAGUUUCCACAUAAAGAUGCACUCCUUAAAUCUCUUGAGAGGUUAAUAAUGUUUCAAGUUCAAAUAUCCAAUGUCCAUUGUCCACUAUCUCCUCCAGGUAACCAAAAUAGAACAAGAAUCAAGCCGCCCUUGCCAAAAAAGUGAUUAAUAUUGAAAGAAAAUCCCUCAAGCAUACCUUCUAAAAAGAAAGAGCCCUUGCUUUAAUAACCAACCCAAAUAUAACUAAAUUAGAAAAGCUCUAACCUCUUUGUCCUCAAAAUCUCUAAAUACUACAUAGAUCCUCAUUUUCCUAGGUUAUUCAAAGAACAGACAUCAAAAUCCCUAUAAGUCUCAUUAUGCUAUACUAGAACGUAGUUUGUAGAACCACAAGGUUGACAAAGGAGACACUUUGUGAAUGGCUACCACCUCCAGUGGAUUUUGUUAAGUUGCGUUUUGAUGAAUGUUCUUUAGGUAACCUAGGGCAAUUACGAAUUGGAGGGUUGCAAAGAGAUCACUUUGGCUUAGCAUUACGAGCAUUCUUUAAACUUGCAGGUCGAGGUUUAGCAAUUGAGACAAAUUUCUACCCCCUUUUAUAAGGGUUGUUAUAAGCAAAAGUUUUGAGUCUCUCCAAUUUUCUACUAGAAGGUGACUAUGCUAGUGUCAUAUCAUGGGCGACUAAGAAAGAAAGAGGACUAUGGAAGUUUCAUAAUUGGUUGCACCAAAUUAUUGACAUUUCUUUAGAGUUAAGAUGUUCUUUCUUUUGGGCUCCUGGCUUAGGGAAUCACGUGGCAAACGUGUUUACUAGAAGAGGAGCUAGACAUAUCAUUUCUCUGGAUUUUCAAUUUAAUUCCCAGCUUGGAGGAAUUAGUUUCCUAGUCUUUUGGGAUUAUAUUAUGAUUUUAUUAUUUUUAUUUUAUUUCCUAUUUUAAAUAAAGAGAUAAGAAUGAUUGCAUUAAAAAUCUCUAUUUUAAUUCAGUUGGCAUAUAACCCUUAUUUUGAGGGAUUGUUACUAGAAUUGUGGGGAUUCCAUAACAGGUUUAUUGUCAUGCUUUUCCUAUAUAUUCUAGCUUCUUCUACCAUUUAUAAAAUAAGAAAAAUUAGAGUUUUCCUUUCUAAAUUUCAUUAUGAUAUCAAAUCCAAAUCUAUACCUAUCAUUAUCUAAUUGGUGAAAUGCGGAAUGGCUACUCCGAACACAACCUCCACCUCAGAUGUGACCUCUAGCUAAGAGGUUACUUCUUCCAACAUCAAUGGCGGAUUACAAGCUGAGUAAAAAUAAUUACCUCCAAUGGAUCCAUUCAUUUAUGCUUUUCAUACGAGGGAAAAGAAAAGAUGAUUUUCUCACCAAGGC